UACCAGACUCCUACGGGAGGCAGCAGUGGGGAAUAUUGCACAAUGGGGGAAACCCUGAUGCAGCGACGCCGCGUGAGUGAAGAAGUAAUUCGUUAUGUAAAGCUCUAUCAGCAGGGAAGAAUAAAUGACGGUACCUGAGUAAGAAGCCCCGGCUAACUACGUGCCAGCAGCCGCGGUAAUACGUAGGGGGCAAGCGUUAUCCGGAUUUACUGGGUGUAAAGGGAGCGUAGACGGCGAUGCAAGCCAGAUGUGAAAGCCCGCGGCUCAACUGCGGUAGUGCAUUUGGAACUGUAUGGCUGGAGUGCAGGAGAGGCAGGCGGAAUUCCUAGUGUAGCGGUGAAAUGCGUAGAUAUUAGGAGGAACACCAGUGGCGAAGGCGGCCUGCUGGACUGUAACUGACGUUGAGGCUCGAAAGCGUGGGGAGCAAACAGGAUUAGAUACCCCAGUA
rnacentral:rRNA from 1 species